rnacentral:rRNA from 1 species
GACGAACGCUGGCGGCGUGCUUAACACAUGCAAGUCGGGCGGAGCGGCGAACGGGUGAGUAACGCGUGAGUAACUGCCCCCCUCUCUGGGAUAACAGUUGGAAACGGCUGCUAAUACCGGAUAGUGGGGGAUGACUCGCGUCCGAUCAGCUUGUUGGUGGGGUAGUGGCCUACCAAGGCGACGACGGGUAGCCGGCCUGAGAGGGCGACCGGCCACAUUGGGCUGAGAUACGGCACAAACUCCUACGGGAGACAGCAGUGGGGAAUAUUGCCCAAUCGGGGCAAGUCUGAUGCAGCAAGGCGCGUGCGGGAUGGUGGCCUUCGGGUUGUAAACCGCUUUCAGCCAUGACGCGGUAGUGGCAGAAGAAGCACCGGCUAACUACGUGCCAGCAGCCGCGGUAAUAC